rnacentral:rRNA from 1 species
GUACGGAAGGCGGCAGUGGGGAAUAUUGCACAAUGGGGGAAACCCUGAUGCAGCAACGCCGCGUGAGCGAUGAAGGCCUUCGGGUUGUAAAGCUCUGUCUUUGGGGACGAAAAAUGACGGUACCCAAGGAGGAAGCCACGGCUAACUACGUGCCAGCAGCCGCGGUAAUACGUAGGUGGCAAGCGUUGUCCGGAAUUACUGGGCGUAAAGAAUGCGUAGGCGGCUUUUUAAGUGGGAUGUGAAAUCCCUGGGCUCAACCCAGGAACUGCAUUUCAAACUGGAAGGCUAGAGUGCGGGAGAGGAAAUUGGUAUUCCCAGUGUAGCGGUGAAAUGCGUAGAGAUUGGGAGGAACACCAGUAGCGAAGGCGAAUUUCUGGAACGUAACUGACGCUGAGGCAUGAAAGCGUGGGGAGCAAACAGGAUUAGAAACCCCAGUAGUCCU